CAUAGAUAACAUAGAAGACAGCGCGCUAGCGUAUCUAGUCUAUGUAUAUCUGUGGUCUGCACGUCUGGUAGCGUCUCUGGCUGCUGUUGAUCUUGGUUUUGGAGUAAAACACGGUGGAAGCUGAAUUAGUGAGGAUGACUCCUGCUCCUGUCAUCUCUAAGCUCCUCACACAUCUUUACCUGCACAUGAGGAAAAUCACUCCUGUAGAAUGCAGAUGUUCAGAGGGAGAUGAUGCCACAUCUGGUCCAGCUGAUGGAAGGUCUUGAAGUUCUCUGACUGGCCUCGACUGAAGAUGGUCGUCUCACUGGAUUUAAGAUGCACAAUGAGGGACGUCUGCAGAGACUGAGAAAGAGUCUCACCACAUCCUGACAUGAGGAAAAAGACUUUAUUGAAGACUACAAUGAGAAAAACUAUCAGACAGCAGACGGCUGCAUUCAAGUCUGUAGCUGCUGAAUUCAUGGAUGAAUCAUCUGGCACUAGAGAGGAAGACCAUCAAACAUCCACGUCAGCUGAUGGAGGUCCAAGAGUCUCACCGAACAACCAACCUACAGAGUGAAGACCUCAAAUCUGAUUGGACGGCCUCCUAUUCAGCCACGUGUGAACAAAUGCCUCUAAGUUGAUUUAUUUUCUACAAUAAAUCUAGUUUGAGUCCUAAUCUAUGCCUGAGUGUUUGCUUCUUGACACCGCUGUUAACAGUUUAGGCUGUUAGAUUGUUCCAGAUAAGACAAGUACAAGAUUCUUCAGAGGC
ensembl:lncRNA